rnacentral:rRNA from 1 species
UACGUAGGUGGCAAGCGUUGUCCGGAUUUAUUGGGUUUAAAGGGUGCGUGGGCGGCUUUGUAAGUCAGUGGUGAAAUACGGUAGCUUAACUAUCGAGGUGCCAUUGAUACUGCAGAGCUUGAGUACAGAUGAGGUAGGCGGAAUUGACGGUGUAGCGGUGAAAUGCUUAGAUAUCGUCAAGAACACCUAUAGCGAAGGCAGCUUACUAGGCUGUAACUGACGCUGAGGCACGAAAGUGUGGGGAUCAAACAGG